rnacentral:rRNA from 2 species
UACGAAGGGGGCUAGCGUUGCUCGGAUUUACUGGGCGUAAAGGGAGCGUAGGCGGAACGACAAGUCAGGGGUGAAAGCCCGGGGCUCAACCUCGGAAUUGCCCUUGAGACUGUCGAUCUAGAGUUCGGGAGAGGUGUGUGGAACUCCGAGUGUAGAGGUGAAAUUCGUAGAUAUUCGGAAGAACACCAGUGGCGAAGGCGACACACUGGCCCGAGACUGACGCUGAGGCUCGAAAGCGUGGGGAGCAAACAGG